rnacentral:rRNA from 1 species
UACGUAGGUGGCAAGCGUUGUCCGGAUUUACUGGGCGUAAAGAGCGCGCAGGCGGUCGUGCAAGUCGCGUGUGAAAGCCCCCGGCUCAACUGGGGAGGGUCACGCGAUACUGCUCGACUCGAAGGCAGGAGAGGGAAGUGGAAUUCCCGGUGUAGUGGUGAAAUGCGUAGAUAUCGGGAGGAACACCAGUGGCGAAGGCGGGUUGCUGGGCUGACACUGACGCUGAAGCGCGAAAGCUAGGGGAGCAAACAGG